rnacentral:rRNA from 1 species
UUUAAGUUAAUGAGAGUGGCGCACGGGUGCGUAACGCGUGAGCAACCUACCUCUAUCAGGGGGAUAGCCUCUCGAAAGAGAGAUUAACACCGCAUAACAUCAACAGUUCGCAUGUUCGGUUGAUUAAAUAUUUAUAGGAUAGAGAUGGGCUCGCGUGACAUUAGCUAGUUGGUAGGGUAACGGCUUACCAAGGCGACGAUGUCUAGGGGCUCUGAGAGGAGAAUCCCCCACACUGGUACUGAGACACGGACCAGACUCCUACGGGAGGCAGCAGUAAGGAAUAUUGGUCAAUGGGCGGAAGCCUGAACCAGCCAUGCCGCGUGCAGGAUGACUGCCCUAUGGGUUGUAAACUGCUUUUGUCCAGGAAUAAACCCAUUUACGUGUAGAGGGCUGAAUGUACUGGAAGAAUAAGGAUCGGCUAACUCCGUGCCAGCAGCCGCGGUAAUACGGAGGAUCCGAGCGUUAUCCGGAUUUAUUGGGUUUAAAGGGUGCGUAGGCGGCCUGUUAAGUCAGGGGUGAAAUACGGUGGCUCAACCAUCGCAGUGCCUUUGAUACUGACGGGCUUGAAUCCAUUUGAAGUGGGCGGAAUAAGACAAGUAGCGGUGAAAUGCAUAGAUAUGUCUUAGAACUCCGAUUGCGAAGGCAGCUCACUAAGCUGGUAUUGACGCUGAUGCACGAAAGCGUGGGGAUCGAACAGGAUUAGAUACCCUGGUAGUCCACGCCCUAAACGAUGAUAACUCGAUGUUGGCGAUAGACCGCCAGCGUCCAAGCGAAAGCGUUAAGUUAUCCACCUGGGGAGUACGCCCGCAAGGGUGAAACUCAAAGGAAUUGACGGGGGCCCGCACAAGCGGAGGAGCAUGUGGUUUAAUUCGAUGAUACGCGAGGAACCUUACCCGGGCUUGAAAGUUAGUGAAGGAUGCAGAGACGCAUCCGUCCUUCGGGACACGAAACUAGGUGCUGCAUGGCUGUCGUCAGCUCGUGCCGUGAGGUGUUGGGUUAAGUCCCGCAACGAGCGCAACCCCUAUGUUUAGUUGCCAGCAUGUGAUGGUGGGGACUCUAAACAGACUGCCUGCGCAAGCAGAGAGGAAGGUGGGGACGACGUCAAGUCAUCAUGGCCCUUACGUCCGGGGCUACACACGUGCUACAAUGGAUGGUACAGCGGGCAGCUACAUAGCAAUAUGGUGCUAAUCUCUAAAAGCCAUUCACAGUUCGGAUUGGGGUCUGCAACUCGACCCCAUGAAGUUGGAUUCGCUAGUAAUCGCGUAUCAGCAAUGACGCGGUGAAUA